rnacentral:lncRNA from 1 species
CUUUUUGCUCAGAGCCACUGAGAUCAGCUGGGGCACCUGUGUGCAUCCAAUAGCAAUGCGUAGGGAUCCUGGCUCCACAGUGGCCCUGUGGGACCCCAGUGCAGAAAAUAAAUGGAUUUUCCUUAUUAAUAGAAGAGCCAGAAAAGAGAUGUGUAACUUUUUCUUCUCUUUCAGCGGCUGUACUUUCUGUAACAACAGGAGGUGAGAUGUGUGUAGGCAGAAGCUGACAGUGCUGUCUCAAUAACAUCUUCCUACCAUCUCCCAAGGCCAAAACGACUCAUACAUGGCCCAGACAAACACCUUCUUGGUGGACUUCCCCACCAUGAGUGAGAAAUGCAGGUGUUUGGGGGCCACUGUCACCAUGAAACAUGAGGACCUACACACACCUCUUGUGGCAGCUGCAGAAAAGGCUGUGCUCAUCCUCACCUUAUGAAUGCCCACUUCCGUACAGUGGAAUUAUGGGACAAACAAAGGAUGAUCCGUGAUGGUGUUAUAUCCAUGAAGCCAAAGACUGUGUGUGUGUGUGCAUGCAAGGG